CAGUCCAGUAGGUGGCGGUAAUGCACCUUUACGCUGGUUUGCCAACCGCCAAUAAAACCGACGAAGAAGAAGAAGAAGAGCAGCCACGAGGAAAGCAAUCUACCACACUCGUUUGGUCUUGUGUCAAAGCUGUGCGAAACUGGAGGGAGAAACUUGAGAGACCGUGCCGGAAGAAUGCUGGACAGAGUUCACUAAAAUUCAUUAAUUUCAAAGUUCAACAUGAAUGGUGGUGGUCCACUGCAGAAGCAAGCAUUUGAAAAAACAUCACUUCUCAGUUAUUAAAGAUGCUGUGUUGAACAACUUCCCAGCAGCAACAGAACUGGAAGUGAAGGAUGCAAUGGGGGCAUUUCAAACAGGCACCUGGGAGCACGGGGUGGGG